AACUCAUCAUUAAUGUCAUUUAAAAUCCUUUGACCAUCAAGAAUCUCAUGUUGCCCUUCUUGUCUGGCAGUGAGCCAAGUAGUACAAUCACGAUGAUUCACUCUAACAGAAGCUGCUUUAUACCUUGGACCUAUUGCAGAAACACCAUUUGAUAAUGCAGCAUGGAAUUGAAUUUCCCCUAUUCCAUGAGCUUUUUCUCUAUCCCUUGCAAACACAAGAGCAACAGCAUCAGAAAAAUAUUUCUUGCUCUCACAGACAUUUUUUGAUUCCAUGCCACUUCUGUACAAAAAUUCAGUUUUCUCAUCACCAACAAUAAUAGUUUCCUUCAACAUGGCAUAAUCCAAUUUCUCAAUGAUAGGUUUCAGGUCAAUAUCUCCACCUCCAAACAUUAUGAUUCCAACUGGCGAUGUGCAACCUGAAGCCAAAACUGUGUAGCUCCGAAUGUCCACCACAAGGUCAUCAGCCAUUGAUACUCGAGGUGCCUGCGUUCGUCUUAACAGAGGGAUGGCCUCAACUUGCAAUCCAGGUAAAAAGCCCACAG
rnacentral:misc_RNA from 1 species